rnacentral:siRNA from 1 species
AGGCUUUCUAUGAGUCUCCUCUA